CUAACCCUAACACAAGCAACUGCAGCCGCCACAUCCUUCUUCACUUUCGGUAGCCACCGCCACCAUGGAAGUCCUCAUCCGCCGUUUGCGUCACCGACCCCCGACACCCCAGUUCCGCCUGCUGCCUCGUCGACGAACGCCAUCGUCCCACCACCUGAUGCCACCUGGAGAGCUGUGAACGGCCAAGAAUGAAGACGGAGCUGUGAAUGGAAAACACGAGUCAUGCACGAUCGAAAUGGUCACGGUGAGGCCAUCUCUCAUUUCUUUCAUUCAUUUUAGUUGUUCGGGACUGUAAUCGCCAUGUUGGGGUCGUAACCGUCGUUGUUCGUCAUUACUAUGGCGUUCCGACGAUGUCCGCCACCCUGUAGGUGGUUGAAUGCGUGUGUGUCUGCCUUUAUGGGCUGCUUAUGGUGCUAACAGUGGUGUAUGGGUGUUAUUUUGGGCAGAGAAGCAAGAUUACCCACCACCACCACCGUAGGGUGGUGGCUGUGUCGUCUUCAACCACCAUGUGCAACUGGUGGUGUCAUGUUCCUGGAGCGAGUGUGUGUGUUGUUGCUGAUCGGAAAAGCUCAAGGAGAAACCGCCAUGGCCACCAUGGUGGCCGCCGCCACUCGCCACCGCCGACCACCGCAAGGUGGUUGUUCGUGCAUUUUAUUUUUGAUAUGUUAUUUUGAUCUAAGCAUUGUAAAAUUGUAAUAGUGGCUAGAAUAAUGAAAUGAAAACUCAAAACCACCACCGUGAGGUGGUGGCUGCCGCCUCUUGCCGCCACCGGCCACCGUGUCGGGUGGCGGUGUGCUUAGUUGUGUUGGGGUUGCUUUUUUUGGAUGUUUGGACAAGGACUAAAACCCUAAUGGGCCUAUUAAACCCUAAUGGGCCCAAUGAAGCCCUAAUGGACCCCAAAAGCCCAAACAUGUGACUAAUGGGUGUAAUAAACCCUAACUAACCUAAAGAAAACCCCGAUGGGCUUAAGGACUUGGUUUUGGGCCUAUUGGGCUAAGAUGAGAUUGGAAACCCUAAUUAGGGUUUAGAAAACCCUAUAUUGGAUUUAUAGGCUUGGACCUAUCGGGACCCACAUUUGAGCCAUUUGUAUGGAAUUGUAUGAUAAGCCUGACUUCACCAUAUGAUAUAUCUAAUCUCUAUACUAAUAAAAGAGUAGUCAUUUUGCCAUGUGUCACUAUAUUAGACCUCUUAAUUAAUAUGAUGUCAUUUGUCAAUCUAUUAGUUUACCAUUUUAAAUUUAUUAGAUCUCCUACUUAAUGUGAUAUUAAUUGUCAAUGUAUUUAUUAUUUAUUUUAAAUUUUAAAUUUUAUAUAAUUGUUUUCAUUAAUUCACAAAUAAAAAAUGUCUAAUAUAUAUUAAAAAUUAAUUAUAUAUAUUUAUUUGAAACAACGAUUAUAAUUUCACAAAACUAAUAUAAAUAUAUCGUAAGUAAUAAUUUAUUUAAAAUAAUUAAUUAUUAAUUUUGAGGUUUUACUAUAAAAUUUCAAUUAAUUUUAUAACCGUGGUUUCCAUGGGUUAUAAACUAGUAGAGUAAUAGACUUAAUGGAUUAAGUCCUUAAUUGGUUAAGUGAGAAACACCUAACCCUAAUUGUUAUUUUAUGUGAAACCCUAGUUUCACUUGGGCUUUGUGUUGGGCCUUUCUAUUGGGUUUUGGUGUUGACGCCAAUAAUGGGCCAUCCAAGGACAAUCAUUGGACCAGAAUAAUUAGAUGGACUUUAAGGUAAGGCCCAUAUGAGGGGUUGGGCCCAAUUUGGAGAAUUGGGCCAUAGUUGGGCCUUAAUGUUUAUAUGAUAUUGGAGCAUUAUACUGUCAAAGGUUGGACUGGAAUAAAUGGUUGGGCCUUAUGGUAAGACCUUGUAAAGGUUUGGGCCCAAUUUGGAAAAUUGGGCCAUAUAUCAGGCUUUGAGACAUAGUUGGAUUGUUGGGACUUUGGAUUGGGCCUUGGGCUUGAAUCAAACUAGGAUUGGAGUAAAGCAGUCUUUUACCCAAGCAUAGACUUAUGGUUUUCUUGAUGGAACCCAAUUAUUAAUUGGGUGUUAUUUUGAUGUUGACAGAUCGGGGAUCUGUCAUCCAGCAGCUGGGGUUAUGUCUACGGGACUUCACUAGUGUGAGGUGAGUUACCUUCCAGUAGGGGUGGGUCUAAGGCACCAAUGUCGGCCCACCAGUAGAUGACUAUGUUUGAGAUGAUUAUCUUUGUGAUAAUUAUCUGGUUUCCAUUAUUUGAUAUGAUUAUUAUGUUGGGAUGCUAUGAUAUAGGUGAUAGUAGCAGCAGGGGUGCAAUAGUCCCCAGUUACCGGUUGAAAGAUACAGAAGACGGUUACCGGUUGUAAGAUACCGAAGGGGUGGACAGAACUUAUGCAUGCAUAGCAAUAUGUUUAUGAUAUGUUAUUAUGUGACCAGUAUGGUUAUGAUAUGCCAGUAUGUGAUUCAGUAUGUUUAUGUUAUGUUAUCAUGGAACCAAUAUGUUUAUGACAUGUUAUUAUGUGAUAGUGAUAGGGGGUGAAAUAGUCCCCGGAUACCGGUUGAAAGAUAUCGAAGGGGAGGUUAGCUCCCAAUUACCGGUUGAAAGCAAUCGAAGGGGAGGUUAGUUCCCGAGUACCGAUUGAAAGAUACCGAAGGGGAGGUUAGCUCCCGAUUACCGGUUAAAAGAUAUCGAAGGGGAGGUUAGUUCUCGAGUACCGGUUGAAAGAUACCGAAGGGGAAUCCAACUCCCAGUUAUGGCAGAUUGAUACCGGUUGAAAGAUACCGAGAGAUAGGCAUUAUAUGGUAUGUGGUAUGAUGGGGGAACUCACUAAGCUUCGUGCUUACGGUUUUCAGUUUUGGUUUCAGGUACUUCGUUUUCAAAGGAAGGGAUCCGGCUCGAUCGCAGCGCAUCACAACAUGUACCGCACAUGAGAUCCUUGGGAUUACACUCUGAUACAGUUUUAUGAUACUAUGUUUUGAUUAUUGACACUUUGGUUUUGACAUG
rnacentral:lncRNA from 1 species